rnacentral:rRNA from 1 species
UGGGGAAUAUUGGACAAUGGGCGAAAGCCUGAUCCAGCAAUGCCGCGUGUGUGAAGAAGGCCUGCGGGUUGUAAAGCACUUUUGGCAGGGAAGAAACCCCGGGGCUAAUACCCUCGGGUUUGACGUAACCUGCAGAAUAAGCACCGGCUAACUCUGUGCCAGCAGCCGCGGUAAUACAGAGGGUGCAAGCGUUAAUCGGAAUUACUGGGCGUAAAGCGCACGUAGGCGGUUGGGUAAGUCGAUUGUGAAAGCCCCGGGCUUAACCUGGGAAUUGCAGUCGAUACUGCCUGGCUAGAGUAUGGAAGAGGGAAGCGGAAUUUCCGGUGUAGCGGUGAAAUGCGUAGAUAUCGGAAGGAACACCAGUGGCGAAGGCGGCUUCCUGGUCCAAUACUGACGCUGAGGUGCGAAAGCGUGGGGAGCAAACAGGAUUAGAUACCC